rnacentral:rRNA from 1 species
UGGGGAAUAUUGCACAAUGGGCGAAAGCCUGAUGCAGCAACGCCGCGUGAGUGAUGAAGGCCUUCGGGUUGUAAAGCUCUGUCUUUUGGGACGAUAAUGACGGUACCAAAGGAGGAAGCCACGGCUAACUACGUGCCAGCAGCCGCGGUAAUACGUAGGUGGCAAGCGUUGUCCGGAUUUACUGGGCGUAAAGGAUGCGUAGGCGGAUUUUUAAGUGAGAUGUGAAAUACCCGGGCUUAACUUGGGUGCUGCAUUUCAAACUGGGAAUCUAGAGUGCGGGAGAGGAGAAUGGAAUUCCUAGUGUAGCGGUGAAAUGCGUAGAGAUUAGGAAGAACACCAGUGGCGAAGGCGAUUCUCUGGACCGUAACUGACGCUGAGGCAUGAAAGCGUGGGUAGCAAACAGGAUUAGAUACCCUGGUAGUCCACGCCGUAAACGAUGAGUACUAGGUGUAGGAGGUAUCGACCCCUUCUGUGCCGCAGUUAACACAAUAAGUACUCCGCCUGGGAAGUACGAUCGCAAGAUUAAAAGCUUAAAUGAAUUGACGGGGUCAUAGCUGUUUCC